UUUUGGACAAUGGGCGCAAGCCUGAUCCAGCAAUGCCGCGUGAGUGAAGAAGGCCUUCGGGUUGUAAAGCUCUUUUGUCAGGGAAGAAACGGUGAGCUCUAAUACAGUUUGCUAAUGACGGUACCUGAAGAAUAAGCACCGGCUAACUACGUGCCAGCAGCCGCGGUAAUACGUAGGGUGCAAGCGUUAAUCGGAAUUACUGGGCGUAAAGCGUGCGCAGGCGGUUAUGUAAGUCAGAUGUGAAAUCCCCGGGCUCAACCUGGGAAUGGCAUUUGAGACUGCAUGGCUAGAGUGUGUCAGAGGGGGGUAGAAUUCCACGUGUAGCAGUGAAAUGCGCAGAGAUGUGGAGGAAUACCGAUGGCGAAGGCAGCCCCCUGGGAUAACACUGACGCUCAUGCACGAAA
rnacentral:rRNA from 1 species